rnacentral:rRNA from 1 species
CAGCAGCCGCGGUAAUACGGAGGAUCCAAGCGUUAUCCGGAAUCAUUGGGUUUAAAGGGUCCGUAGGCGGUCUUGUAAGUCAGUGGUGAAAGCCCAUCGCUCAACGGUGGAACGGCCAUUGAUACUGCAGGACUUGAAUUAUUGGGAAGUAACUAGAAUAUGUAGUGUAGCGGUGAAAUGCUUAGAGAUUACAUGGAAUACCAAUUGCGAAGGCAGGUUACUACCAAUUGAUUGACGCUGAUGGACGAAAGCGUGGGUAGCGAACAGGAUUAGAUACCCCCGUAGUCCCUGUCUCUUAUAC